rnacentral:rRNA from 1 species
GGGGGGAGCAAGCGUUGUUCGGAUUCACUGGGCGUAAAGGGUGCGCAGGCGGCUAAGUGUGUCAGGUGUGAAAUCCCGGGGCUUAACUCCGGAACUGCGCCUGAAACUACUUGGCUAGAGCAUUGGAGAGGGAAGUGGAAUUCACGGUGUAGCAGUGAAAUGCGUAGAUAUCGUGAGGAACACCAGAGGCGAAGGCGACUUCCUGGACAAUUGCUGACGCUCAGGCACGAAAGCGUGGGGAGCCAAAGGGAUUAGAUACCCCUGUAGUCCACGCCCUAAACGGUGCAUACUAGGUCUUGGCGGAUUCGACCCCGUCAGGGCCCAAGCUAACGCGUUAAGUAUGCCGCCUGAGGACUACGGCCGCAAGGCUA